rnacentral:lncRNA from 1 species
AAAGAUGUUGAAAACAUUUACAUCAAUGGAUAUAGGAUAGAUUCAUAAUUUCUCCCGUCCGCUUAUUUUACCAAUGAUGAUUCAAUUUAAUAUUAUAAAAUUAUACAUUCCUAAUUUAUUUAUAAACAUACUUUUGGUAUAUAUAAUUCUCUAGAAAAUGUAAAACAUAAAUAUAUAUUUUAGAAUUUAUAUAUAUAGUGUAUUAGAGGACAAGUGAAUGGGUAGCAUUCAGAAGAAAUUUCAUCUCUUGGCUUAGCAUUUUCCUACGUGAAAUCAAGGAAUAAUAUUGAAGCCUGCCAUGCCCAAGUAACAACGUACGACACAAGUAGCCGCUUGCUUGUCAAAUGGACGAUCUCAUUCGUCUUGUUGUAGGAGCUAUUGAAUUCUUAGACAAGCUCGUAGUAACUGUCAGAUUAAGGCAACUUUGGGUUCUGAUAAAACAAGAACAUGUUUCAUUUAGUUGCAUGUGUACAUCCACAGCUGAUUACACGCACAUAAUUUCAAUGAGUUCAAAAAGAAACGGGAAUGGUCCGCAGUGGGAGUACAGUAGGUAGGUUGAUGUGGAUUGAGGAAUCCAAUGGGUUCCAUUAAUAUGCUUUCUUCAAUAACACGACUCAAAGUGGGUGUAGGGCUGGUAAGAUGCGCCUAUCUUCUCUUUUUCCCUUUUUUUUCUCUUGUUUAUUUUGUUUGCGAUUAGUAACAUAUCCAUCUGUAAACAUUCGGUUUACUGCUUUACAGUUUGGGCUUUGAAAAGAAAAGAUUAAAAAAAAAAAAAGACAAAAUCAAUUUAGGUUUGUUAUGAUAUUUGUCAUUAUCGACUCACUAUUUGUGAGAAAUCGACUCAGUUCUCUUUACAUUAGUGGUCAAGCUGUAUAAUUCGCUUUUUUGAGUCCGCACAUGAUGGGUUUAUGUAAUAAUGCAAGCGAACCUAUACUUAAGGACACGUAUUAGCUUUAAAAUAAGAUACAUAUUGGCAUAUAUAAGAACCUAUCUAGUAAAUCGAAUUCAAAAACCGUAUCAUAUAAAUAAAAAAAUUAAUCUUCAUAAAAAAAUACAUAAAAACACUUAACAAAAUUUAAUUUCAAACAUAAUAUAUGCUUUGCUUUUUGGAGAAUGACUUAUAAAACUCCAUGAAAUGGUUCUACUUUUUUUUCUUGCAUGAUAUUUGAUCGGAGUAAAUUUUGAAAUGCCUUGAACGUCUUCAAUUUGUACAAUGCUUUUAUAUUAAAUAUUAGGUAAAAAAAUUAUUUUUAAUUUUAAUAUCAAAUAAUUUAGUUCUUCUAAAAAAAUUUAAAUCCUUAUCAAUUUUAAAAAUAAAUAAUUAAAAAUAAUUACUCAUAAUAUAAUAAUAAAUUUAACCAUUAAUGUUUAUAUAUUUUAUUAAUUUAAUCUUAAUUUUAAAAAAAAUUAAUAAAUUUAAUCUCAACAUUUACACCUUUAUAAAAAUAUUACAGACUAAAUUUAUUAAAUCAUAAUCAAAUUGAUAAAAAAACGUAAUUUACAACAAUUAAAUUUAUUAUUAUAUAUAAAAUUGAUGGAAAUCAAACUGCCCAUAGAAACAUAAAACAAAUCAUAUAACUUGAAUGGCAUACUUGGUUUAUACUGAAACCGGAUCCCACCAUUAAAACAUCUUUAUUUGAUGAACACUAAAUAAAUGAAAUAUUGAACCAAAAAAAAAACACUAAAUAAAUGGAAUGGAGUUGUACCACAUCACUGCCAAAGGGGAUGAGGAGAUAAACACAAACGUAACAUGACCCUUAAACACCCCCCCCCCCUCCCCACAAUAUAAAUCAUCAUCAUAACAUAACAACAAGCUUUACAUCACCAUCAAAUUAACAGACAAAAUAUUAAUUGAAAUAAAAUACUAUAACCGACACAUAUUCAAACAAAACCAGAAUCCUACUCCAAAUCUCCACCUGUAUAUGAAAACAGAAAAAAUGCCAAUUUCAUUACAACUGGAAAAAAAAAAGAAAAAACACAUUUAUGUAAUUAUAAAGCUAAAAAUUAAAUAAAAUAAAAAAUAAAUCCGUAUACAUUGAAUUAAAUUAAAUGAAGUUAGGCAAUCAAUUAUUGCAUUUAAUCGAAACUUCCAGACGUGUAGACCUGCCGACUUACCAUCUAUGAAUUGGUUUCUGUGUAAAUUUAGGUCUGUUUUUUCUUACAUGAAAUUAGAAGAAAGCAAUUUUAAGAGAAAGUAAUUUUCGAUCGCACAUAGUACAAGUAUGUAACCUGAAUAUGUGUAUGUAUGUUGAAAGUUGAAACUUGUUACUUACAGAUGAGAAGGACGGGAUUAGAGGACUACUUGGUGAUGGCAUAGAUAGCAUAAAUAAUACCAGGGAUGUACCCAAACAGGGUGAGUACAAGACAUAUCCAGAACUCCACCUGCAUCAAUUUUUUAUUUAAUUACGGUUCAUAUUAUAUAAUAUCAUGUAAUAAAAAUGAAAAAGGCUCAGAUAUGGAUAUUGACCUGGCAACCAAACUUGAGGAAGACACCGAGAGGAGGCAAAAUGAUGGCUAAGAGGAUAUCUAUGCAGGUAGCUGUACUAUCAUCUGCCAUCUUUUUCUUCUCCUUCUUUACAAGCCCCAAGCAAACAAAUUCAAGACUUUCGUUUCUUUCAGGAAGAGGAUUGUUUUUUGAGAGGGUUCUAGUAGGAAAGGGAGAGUGGGUGAGAG